UACGGGGGGGGCAAGCGUUGUUCGGAAUUACUGGGCGUAAAGGGCUCGUAGGCGGCCAACUAAGUCAGACGUGAAAUCCCUCGGCUUAACCGGGGAACUGCGUCUGAUACUGGAUGGCUUGAGUCCGGGAGAGGGAUGCGGAAUUCCAGGCGUAGCGGUGAAAUGCGUAGAUAUCUGGAGGAACACCGGUGGCGAAGGCGGCAUACUGGACCACAUCUGACGCUGAGGCGCGAAAGCCAGGGGAGCAAACGGG
rnacentral:rRNA from 1 species